AGCUUGCUCCCGGAUGUUAGCGGCGGACGGGUGAGUAACACGUGGGUAACCUGCCUGUAAGACUGGGAUAACUCCGGGAAACCGGAGCUAAUACCGGAUAGUUCCUUGAACCGCAUGGUUCAAGGAUGAAAGACGGUUUCGGCUGUCACUUACAGAUGGACCCGCGGCGCAUUAGCUAGUUGGUGGGGUAAUGGCUCACCAAGGCGACGAUGCGUAGCCGACCUGAGAGGGUGAUCGGCCACACUGGGACUGAGACACGGCCCAGACUCCUACGGGAGGCAGCAGUAGGGAAUCUUCCGCAAUGGACGAAAGUCUGACGGAGCAACGCCGCGUGAGUGAUGAAGGUUUUCGGAUCGUAAAGCUCUGUUGUUAGGGAAGAACAAGUGCGAGAGUAACUGCUCGCACCUUGACGGUACCUAACCAGAAAGCCACGGCUAACUACGUGCCAGCAGCCGCGGUAAUACGUAGGUGGCAAGCGUUGUCCGGAAUUAUUGGGCGUAAAGGGCUCGCAGGCGGUUUCUUAAGUCUGAUGUGAAAGCCCCCGGCUCAACCGGGGAGGGUCAUUGGAAACUGGGAAACUUGAGUGCAGAAGAGGAGAGUGGAAUUCCACGUGUAGCGGUGAAAUGCGUAGAGAUGUGGAGGAACACCAGUGGCGAAGGCGACUCUCUGGUCUGUAACUGACGCUGAGGAGCGAAAGCGUGGGGGAGCGAACAGGAUUAGAUACCCUGGUAGUCCACGCCGUAAACGAUGAGUGCUAAGUGUUAGGGGGUUUCCGCCCCUUAGUGCUGCAGCUAA
rnacentral:rRNA from 1 species